rnacentral:tRNA from 2 species
GGUCCUAUAGCUCAGUUGGUUAGAGCAUCUGACUCAUAAUCAGAGGGUCCGGGGUUCAAGUCCCUGUGGGACCA